rnacentral:rRNA from 1 species
GUUCACACGGCGAGACCGCGGACGGCUCAUUAAAUCAGUCGUGGUCCAAAUGGGCCAGUGCAAAUCCUACUUGGAUAACUGUGGUAAUUCCAGAGCUAAUACAUGCAACUGAUAUCCCGAAGGCGGUGUUUGGGCUUGCUUGCCUUGCGCUGCGCUGCUCUGACGGAUGCUUUUAUUAGACCAAGCCGCUGAGGACUUGAGGGUUCGCGCUCUCUUGUCUGACUCGUGUGAUGGUGACUCUGGAUAACCAAAUUCUGACAAGCGCACGUACUUCUCUUCUGAGCGAGACGGCGCUGCCACUUUCGAGUGUCUGCCUUAUCAGCUAUCAACCGUUCGUUAUGCGCGACCGAUGGCUUUGACGGGUAACGGGGAAUCAGGGUUCGAUUCCGGAGAGGCAGCCUGAGAGACGGCUACCACGUCCAAGGACGGCAGCAGGCACGCAAAUUACCCAAUCCCAGCAAAUGGGGGAGGUAGUGACGAAAUCUAACGAUGCGGGCGCCCUUUCUGGGGCCCCGC